rnacentral:lncRNA from 1 species
AUGGCCUCAGCACAGAGCACACAUGAAGUGGUACUGUGGUGCUUUCUGCCAAGAACUGGCCAGCGCUUAAUUGCCUUGGUCUGUUUUUUCCUACCAGAAUCAUUUUCAACCUCCUGGUACUGCGUGACUGUCAUCUGCAGCUGUGAUGGUGAAGAAACAGAUUUUCACCAGUAUGCAUUGAAGGGGAAGCCACAGAGGAGGAGAAUAAGGACCAGCAGUGCGGGAAAUUGAACCCAGGACCUAGCACAUGCUAGGCAAGUGCAAGCACUGCUGAGAUCGAACUUCAAAGGUAUCCAGGCACUAGGACCUUCUCUGCAUGGAAGGUUUUCCUAGUGAUGAAAUGUCUCCACAGGUAAGCCAGUUACACUCUCCUGUAUCAUUUAUUCCCAUUUCCUUCCUGGUUUCGUUCGUCCUACAGAUGGGGAAAUGGUCAGCAUAUUCCCUGGCUCAGAGGGACUGUGCGUUUGUUUUUGCUUUUUGUGGUGAAAAGUUGAGACAUCUGCAAGGUACUUAGGGGAGGAUAAUGUGCGUAUCGUGCUCCUGCAGUCCGUUUUCUGCCCCGCGUCCCUGCCCUGCUUCUGUCCAGUGGAGCUGGUCAGGCUAUGAGGGAAGCUGCUGCUCAACUCUGCGCUGGUUUCCCCAGGGGUUGCAUCCCCAGGGGAGCUCAGCCUCCAGCCCCAGAAGUUCUUCCCUUCUGGUGUCAGCAGCAGCAGCCCGGAGAUGAAUGAGGGUGUGCGAAGAACAACAUCUGGCUCUCAGCACCCCGC